rnacentral:misc_RNA from 1 species
UCCGGUUUGGCACCGGCAGUCUUCCCAGAGUCCCCGGCUUUACCCGCUGGCAACUGAGAACGGGGGUUGCGCUCGUUGCGGGACUUAACCCAACAUCUCACGACACGAGCUGACGACAACCAUGCACCACCUGUGAACCAGCCCCAAAGGGGAAGAACUGUCUCCAGUCCGGUCCGGUCCAUGUCAAGCCUUGGUAAGGUUCUUCGCGUUGCGUCGAAUUAAGCCACAUGCUCCGCCGCUUGUGCGGGCCCCCGUCAAUUCCUUUGAGUUUUAGCCUUGCGGCCGUACUCCCCAGGCGGGGCGCUUAAUGCGUUAGCUGCGGCACGGAGAACGUGGAAGGUUCCCCACACCUAGCGCCCAACGUUUACGGCGUGGACUAC